UUCUAUUUUCUUAGGUACAUUGGAGUAAAUGAUGGUGAAAUGAGCAUUAGGUCCACACUUACCUAUAAAUGGUGGAGAAAAAUGGAAAUGUACUAAAAUGUCAAUUUUACACAUUUUCCUACUCCGGCUAGGAGAAACCAAGCCAAGCAAGGAAGAAGGAGCGGCCGCCGGACCAAAUGAACUUCAAAUGAGCUGAAACUUUCCAGAUCCAUUCUAGACAGCCCAAGGAUCAUUUCUUAUGAAGAGUGCAAGAACUUUUGUUGAGUGGAAGGCCUUCAAACAAUCAGCCCAAUUUUCUACAGAAGCAAAACUGGAAAACUGGACCUGUAAGAGGUCCAGCAGCAUUUUCGGCCCAACCACAUGGAAUAAAAAUCUGAAAUUUUACCAGGGUGAUCUACACUCAUAAUGGAACAUUUUUUAUGAAGAGGUCAUAGUGAAAUUGGGAAUGCUUGUUGGAGAAAUAAUUGAAGGAAUAAAGGGGCAGAAACUGAUCUAAAAAACAGCUCAACAUCACAUGUUCAUGUUUCCUACCCACAUGAAGAAAGCUAGAUGCUUUUCUCUUUUUCCUUGGAUAUAUUUUUCUGCUCCAAUAGAUCAUCAUCACUUCCAUACUUCUGCACAUUCAUGCCUUGCUUUCAUUUCAUCAUUACUCCAUCUUUUCCAUAUUUUACAAACCACUUUCAUUAUUUUUCUUCCAUUUAUCAUUUCACUCUUCUUUUUCUUCCCUAUAUAAACACCUUCUCCUCUCACUCUAAAAAAAUUCCUUCAUCCAUUUCAUCUUCUUUGUCUCUCCAUUUCCAUUCCAUUUUUCUCUCCAUUCUCUAGUUGCAAAAUUCUGCGUUUUCAAGUAAGAAGAAGAAGAAGAAGAAGGAGCCGGGAAUAUCAUAUCCUCCAUCGUCCACCUUGAAGGCUUGCUUCCAAGAUUCAAGAUUUCAACGUUUCAAGCACUCCAUCUCCAUCUCCAACUCACGGUGUGUACCCUCAAUCCCCGGAAUAGAACGAUCCCUAUUUGCUUAUACUACUAACGAUGUUUUCAGGGUUAAAUUAUGCGCUUGCUUUGAGCGUAUCAAUUUUUGGCGCCGUUGCCGGGGAUAUCAAUUUUUGGCGCCGUUGCCGGGGAUAUCAAUUUUUGGCGCCGUUGCCGGGGAAUUGAAAAAUCACUUGUUUUUGUUUAUAAUUGUUGUAUAUAAACUGUUUGAUACUUAGUUUAAAUUAACUAGGUUGUUUUUUUUUUAUUGUUGAAUACGAGUUUAAUUGUGAGUUGUAAAUUAAAGAAGGAAUAGGUGAAGUCGUGUUUAUUAAUAUUGGCCUAAACCCCUUAUUGGUACCUAGUUCAGGUCCCUUAAGGUUGAGGGCGGCCUUUAUUAACAUUCAUUGAACUGUCUAACACACUUAGGACCUUUUACAUCCUAGUAAGAAUAUCCUAUGUGAGAUGGUGUCUAGGAAGGGGAUAACGUUCAUGACGGGUUUUUGAAUCCAGAAGUGCUUAUAAAUGGGCUUAGCUCAUGCCAAAAUGGAUUUUUCCUCUCGUGUUCACCCUCCCCUACCUGGCCAUUUCAGUAAGGUUGCCCAACGGAUGUAGGAGGGACUUUGUGUCUAGACGACUAUACUUGGGCCGCACGUCCACUUGAUUUACCGCUUGGAAUUAUAUUUGAUAUCAAUAAUGUUUAUAACAAAAGAAAUACUUGUGCAUACUCUUUACGUGUAAAUUAUUUUGUUGUUUCACACUUUAUACUUGUAAAAAUACUUUUUACGUUUUAUACUCACUUGUGUACUUAACUUGUGUCAUAUGUACAAAAUACUUGUUAAUUAUACUUGUAGUUUGUAAUUCAUAGUUACUUGUUUAUUUUUUUUUUUGUAUUUCUUUGUUAAUAUUAAGUUACUAACUUUAUUUAAUGUAGGUACCGUCUGGCUGCAAGACGUAAAAUACAAGCGCUGCUUGGGAGGCAACCCAAUUCAGAAUAUAAUCAGAUUUGCUUUCUCUUCCCCUUUUACUCCUCCAUUUUCUUUUUGUUUUAGUAGUUAUUUUCGUAAAUUCCAUCACUAUAUGCUUACUUAUUUCAUUGCAUGCUUUUAAUUGAUUACAUUGAGGAUAAUGCAAUAUUUAAGUGUGGGGGAAGGGAUUUAUAUUUUUGUCUUUCAUUUUGAAUCCUAUAAAUAUUUUUGUCUUUCAUUUUGUGUCCUAUAAAUAUUUUUGAGUCCUAUAUUUUUAAUAAUAAUAAAAAAAAAUAAAAAUAAAUAAAAAUAAAAUAAAAAUAAAAAUAAAAUAAAAUGCAUUCAUUCAGUCUUAUUAAAUUCAGCUUUUUACAAAAAAAAAAAAAUAAUAAUAAUAAUAAAAAAAAUUAAAAAAAAAAAAAUAAUAAAAAAAAAAAAAAAAAAAAUGCAUUCAUUCAGUCUUAUUAAUUUCAGCUAUUUACAAAAAAAAAAAAAAAAAAAAAAGAAAUAAUAAUAAUAAUAAUAAUAAUAAUAAAAAAAAAAAAAAUAAUAAUAAUAAUAAUAAUACUCUAUACUAAGCCAUGUCUGCAUCUCUGUAGGAGUUGAGGCUGAGCUCAAGGGAAAUGUGAGAGCCACCGCCAUAACCGCUACCUCCCUCGGAAGUAGUCUUCAUGAUGCCCAAGAUGUCCUCACCAUGCAUGGGGAACAAUGGAAGGGUUUCAAUCUCCUGGUGAUCUCCUCCUCGUUGUUGCUGGGAUGUUUGUCCUCCUGUUGUGCCAAAAGAGUUGUACUGGUAUUAGUGUUGAAGUGUGAGGAAGAAUAUGAAACAAAAUUUAAAUCAAGAAAUCAUUCAUUACCAGUAGAAUCGGUGGAACCAAAGUUGAGAUUAAUGGAUCUACCAUCAUCAGUAGAACUAGUGGACCCAAAAUUGAUGUCAAUGGAUCCACCAGCUGGCCCAAAAUUGAUGUCGAUGGAUCCACCAGCACCAGUAGAACCAGUGGACCCAAAAUUGAGAUCAAUGGAUCCACCAGUACCAGGAGAACUAGUUCCCAUGGGCACUUGAGCAGCCUGAUUGCACCUCUUCAUCUGCUUCUCUCGAGCCCUGACAUUCUGGAACCAAAAAUAAAUGUUCUUGCCCUCAACAUGUCCAUACUGGUUCAGCUGGAGACAGAUCUCGUGAAUAUGCUCUGUAGUUGGGCGCUUAACUCCCUUGUCGUAGUAAAGAUCCUUGAGGAUCCUUAUUUGAUCUGGAGUAGGAACCCACCUGGCACGGCUUCGCCAGAAAUCUGUGUUGGCACUACUCCCGGCUACUUGGUUGUUUCCUCCAUCCUCGAUUUGUUGCUGGGUUUGUAGCUCCAUCAGUUGCAGAGUUCGUGGUUCCAUGGUGAUGGGUUGAGGGGAUGUGAAGAUCGAAGAGUAAAGUUGUCAAGUGUUUGAAGGAGUUGUUGUUAAAGGGAUUAAGGAUGAUGAUGGUGUGUUGGAGAUCUGAAAGUUCAGAGGAAAGAUGGGAUUGAAUCAACUAGAUGGGAGAGAAGAUCAGAAGAGAAGGAUUGAAUCGAAGAAGAAAUAUUUUGAGUUUUGAAAGAAGAGGAAAAGCUGAAGAGUUGGGAGAGAGGGGCUGGAACUCAGGAGAGAUUUUCGUUCCUUUGGAGUGAACAGUUGCGCCCUCAGAAUGCACCUAUUUAUAGAGCGAGGUGAGCAGAUCUCCACCGUUGGAUGGACGAUUCCUGUGAUUCAUUCUACGCGUUGGAUUAAAGUCGCCCUGAAACCCGGAAAAGUUGUUGGCGCGUGGAGAGCGUGUAAGGGGACCGAGGGAAUCUCGAGGCGCUGUGGCAGACAGCUGUAGCCGAAAGCAGAUUUGACUGCCGUAAAUCACGGAAGGGAUAAGCCGUGACACAAGUGGGCCGUACUUGGGCCUGUCUCGGAUCAAGGCAUCACUGUAGCUGUGGGUGGAGGCCUGAUGGGCCGAGUUUCAGAAACAGUUUUGGACCUGAUGGGCUGAGUUUCAGAAACAGUUUUGGACAUGAUGGGCCGAGUUUCUGAAACAGUUUUGGAUGAGUUGGGCUGGGUUUCUGCAACAGUCUUGGAUGUUUUGUGCCGAAUUGUUGAAACAGUUGAAACAGUUGGUUUAAAUAAAAGGAUUGGUAUGGAUAAUAACGUGAGCAGCCGUGCUCGAGUGGUUGAGUGUAAAGUUCGUGUACAAGAGGUCUGAGGUUCGAACCUCGCCUCUCGUUUAUUUUUAUUAUGUUCGUUUAUGACAUAAUAAGUAUAAAAUUUGUACACAUUAUAUUAAGCACAGCUUGUGCUCCAGUGGUUGGGGACAAAGGUUUCGUGUAGCAGGUUAAGGUUUCGAACCUUGCCUCCCCCGUUUUUUUUUUUUUUUUUUUUUUUUUUUUUUUUUUUAUUUAUGUCACUCCAUCAGAACCCUCCUCCGAAGGCUGAAACCAGCAAGAAGGCUGCCACUCGCCCGCAUACCGCUCCUCCAAAGGAGUAAAUGGAGGUACAAGUCUAGGCUGAAAGACUUUAAACAUUAAGCGCUGCAUGGGAGGCAACCCAUUUCAACCGUAGCUGUGGAGGAGCCAUCAACGCAGAUUUGCUCUCUUAAACUCUAUCUCCUCUAUUACUAUUUUCUGAUUGUAUCUUUGUUAUUUGCGUUUUUAGUUUUUGUUUUUAGGUUUUCUUGAGUUAAUCAUUCCAUUCACAUGAUAAUUGUUCAUUGCAUGCUCUAACUUGUUUAACAUUGAGGACAAUGUAUGAUUUAAGUGUGGGGGGAAGGAUUAAUGCUUGUAGUUAGUUUUUGUCAUAAAAAGAAAACAAAACAAAAAAAAAAAAAAUCGAAAAAUGUCAGAAAAAUAAAAAAUUUCGUUGCUUUUGUUUUUGUUUUGAGUCUUAGGAUGCCUUUCAACUGUCUGGGAUGAUUCUAUAUCUCUGAAAUCAUGACUAAAAGAGGAUCACAACAUUGAGAUGAUUUUAAACAUGGUAUUCUUUGGUUAAUUGAGAUAUAUGAAAAAUGUGUGCCUUGUAGUGGAUAUGGAUUGCAUGACCUUGGUACAGAAUAUGAGCAUGUUAAGAUGAGUUGUGAUUCAUAAAGCCCAUGUGAGAUAAUUGAACCAUGUCCCUUUUUAUUGGAGUGAAAUGAAAAAUAUAUUCUUAAUUUCUUGGCGAUGUUUUGAUGAUCUCAUUAUUCUUUCAUCUUGAUUGACUGCUUGCCAUAGAUUAAGUUUAAUUGACUAGAGAAUGCUAGAAUUCGCUCUUGUGCUUGUUGAGACGUGAUAUCAAUACAUGGCCCUGAUUCUGGAAGGGAUAGAGGUUCUCUAGGAAUUACCACCAUUGCCAAAUAAACUUGUGUCCCCAUUUGUGCCCGUCGUGGGACCCCCCUAGAUAAGCCCCUUUGAGCCUACAUUAAGCAUUUUCGUUCAUCACCCUUAAAAUCCUUAACCAUGAAGCUUAGUAUAGUUACAACCCUACCCUUUGUUCUAAGGACUUAGUGGAGCUAUCUUUUGAGACAUACUACAUGGGUUUGGUGCUAAGGAUGAAGAUUGAGAAGAGGUGAAAGUUCAAGUGUGGGGAUAGACUUGUCCAUAAAGAAAAAGAUAUGUUGAAGCCGUGAAAAAUGAAAAGAAAAGAGAAAAAUUGUGUACGGCUAAAAAGAAAAAAAAAAAAUAUAUAUAUAUGUUUAUGGACUUUCAUCCCCCAUACUUAGUGAUUUUGGAGUUUGCUUUGAAUUGAAGGCCCACUACAGAAAAAUUUGGCCUUUGUCCAUUUCACUAGAGUUCAAGGGAAGUUUAUAUUGAAGAUUGGGCCCAACAUGAAGACAUUUGGCCCUCUUAUAUUACCUCUAUGGAGAAGUGACGUUUUUGCAAUGCCUUGGUGAAAUAUUUCGAGAUCUCUACAUUCAUAUGAGCUCUACUAGGUUUUUAGGACACUUUGAUAAUCCUUACCUUUCAUUUCUUUAAACCUUGAGCCUUAGCCCCAUUACAACCUUUGAGAGGACCUUCUUGAUCCUUAAGAUGGGACAGCCUUUGAUGUGGAGAUGAGUUACAAGAGUUGAACCUAUGGCUUGGGUCCAUUCGUGCAAGUAGUUGAUAUCCUUCAUGAGAUCUUUUGAAAAAAAAUUAUAUUCACAAAGUGCUUUUCGUUUCUUAUAUAUGUGAGCUAUUUGACUGCCUUAAAAUAUGUUCUCUCACAUAUAAAUGAGUGAUUAUAAGCUUUUAAGCAUUGCCUUGAUCUGAGAGAAGAAAAAGUGGAUAUACCUUGUGAGGAUAUGAAUCAUACUUGUCUGAAGCAUGCUAAGCUAAACCCCAAUCACCAUUAUUACAACCAAGUCCUACUUGUGUAUGUGUGGAUCAUAUGUUUUAAUUAACUCUCGAAUGCUUAACAUUGAUUCUUGGUUGAGUGCUAAUCUUGGUGUUGUGAAAGUAAGAGAUUUCUGAGACAAUAUGUUAAAGGGCAAUAGAGGUCUUUGUGAUGUCAACAUCUUGGUCUUUGUCUUUGAAUUUACUCUUUUAUGUGUGACGUUUUUUUUUUUUUUUUUUUUUUUUUUUUUUUUUUUUUUUUUUUUUUUUUUUUUUCUUUGUGUUUUGCUUUGUGUUUUACGUUUUUGGUUUCUUUGAGUCUUUGUGUUUUUGUUUCCAUACUUAGUCAUUUUUUUCGUUGGUUUCUUUGUUUUGUGUCAUAGUCUUUUUGGUUUGUUAGUUUUUGAUUUUGCUAAGGGACUAGCAAAAGCUAAGUGUGGGGGAAUUUGAUAGGAGCAUUUUAAUGUGGUAUUUUAAUAGUUAAUUCCUCACAUUUUGCUUAGUUAAUUCCUUAACGAAUCGAUUUUUAACUCAAUUUCUAUUUUCUUAGGUACAUUGGAGUAAAUGAUGGUGAAAUGAGCAUUAGGUCCACACUUACCUAUAAAUGGUGGAGAAAAAUGGAAAUGUACUAAAAUGUCAAUUUUACACAUUUUCCUACUCCGGCUAGGAGAAACCAAGCCAAGCAAGGAAGAAGGAGCGGCCGCCGGACCAAAUGAACUUCAAAUGAGCUGAAACUUUCCAGAUCCAUUCUAGACAGCCCAAGGAUCAUUUCUUAUGAAGAGUGCAAGAACUUUUGUUGAGUGGAAGGCCUUCAAACAAUCAGCCCAAUUUUCUACAGAAGCAAAACUGGAAAACUGGACCUGUAAGAGGUCCAGCAGCAUUUUCGGCCCAACCACAUGGAAUAAAAAUCUGAAAUUUUACCAGGGUGAUCUACACUCAUAAUGGAACAUUUUUUAUGAAGAGGUCAUAGUGAAAUUGGGAAUGCUUGUUGGAGAAAUAAUUGAAGGAAUAAAGGGGCAGAAACUGAUCUAAAAAACAGCUCAACAUCACAUGUUCAUGUUUCCUACCCACAUGAAGAAAGCUAGAUGCUUUUCUCUUUUUCCUUGGAUAUAUUUUUCUGCUCCAAUAGAUCAUCAUCACUUCCAUACUUCUGCACAUUCAUGCCUUGCUUUCAUUUCAUCAUUACUCCAUCUUUUCCAUAUUUUACAAACCACUUUCAUUAUUUUUCUUCCAUUUAUCAUUUCACUCUUCUUUUUCUUCCCUAUAUAAACACCUUCUCCUCUCACUCUAAAAAAAUUCCUUCAUCCAUUUCAUCUUCUUUGUCUCUCCAUUUCCAUUCCAUUUUUCUCUCCAUUCUCUAGUUGCAAAAUUCUGCGUUUUCAAGUAAGAAGAAGAAGAAGAAGAAGGAGCCGGGAAUAUCAUAUCCUCCAUCGUCCACCUUGAAGGCUUGCUUCCAAGAUUCAAGAUUUCAACGUUUCAAGCACUCCAUCUCCAUCUCCAACUCACGGUGUGUACCCUCAAUCCCCGGAAUAGAACGAUCCCUAUUUGCUUAUACUACUAACGAUGUUUUCAGGGUUAAAUUAUGCGCUUGC